UGGAUCACCUCCUAACAGGGAGACAACAAAAUGUUUAAUAUUAUUAUUUUGUCACCUUAGGUCGAUCGGUAUCUCACAUUCUUAGUUUUUAAGAAUUUCAAUUCCUAAGUUUUUCUAGGUCACACCCAUUAUUUUUCCUGGGCCAUUAGCUCAGGUGGUUAGAGCGCACCCCUGAUAAGGGUGAGGUCCCUGGUUCAAGUCCAGGAUGGCCCAUAUCUCUAUGUUGGGGGUAUAGCUCAGUUGGUAGAGCGCCUGCUUUGCAAGCAGGAUGUCAGCGGUUCGAGUCCGCUUACCUCCACUGAUUACCACCUCUUCCAUAAUUUUUAGAAAGGGAAUGUUUUGAGUUGUGAUCAAAUCCUGAACGAAUCUAGCUUCCUAAUGAAAUCAUUAAGAUGCUGGACUCAUUGAAUUAAUUUCAUUGUUUUCAGAGAACCUUGACAACUGCAUAGAUUAUUUUUUAAAGACAAUAAGCAUCUUUAAUGAUGCAGAUUUAUUAUUUGUGCAAAUGCAUUAAUAACAAUUCUAUUAAGCUGAUGCUUCAAUUUUUGAAGUUAUUGGUCAAGCUACAAAGGGCUCAUGGAGGAUACCUAGGCACACAGAGGCGAUGAAGG
rnacentral:tRNA from 1 species